rnacentral:rRNA from 1 species
GUCGGGACAACUCAACAAGGGAACGAGGAGCCUCAAGGGAGAUACCUGCAUAACACUGGAUGCAGUGAAGAAGGAAUCAGAAAUGUUCUUAUGUUUUAGUGGCGGAAUGGCAAGGCGUCCGGUUAGAUGACCUGGGUCCGUGGCGAGUUGGUGGCUCUCGACUACAAGAAGAUCAUUGAGGCAAUCGAUAGUAGAUUUCAACAAGAAUCUAUAAAGGGCUCUAAGGGAGUAGAGGAAUCAAAAGAAAACACCUGACAGUGCAAAGUGCACUUAGGCAGUAAGGUCAACACAAGACUACUCAUGAAACGCCUCCAUCAGGAGGCCAAAAUAUACACAUACGAACUCCCGGACAUUGCAUACCGGGGAGCUUUCUUCUAUUUAGGAUUUAAGGCUGAUAAUAUGCUCACGAAAAGACAGGAAUGCAGCACCACUCCAAUCUUUAGAAGGUCCCCACCCUGUUCUG